rnacentral:pre_miRNA from 1 species
UUAGUACUCCCUUCGUUCGGAAUUACUUGUCACAAAAAUGGAUGUAUCAACAACUAAAAUACAUCUAGAUACAUUCAUUUCUUGGACGAGUAAUUCCGAACGGAGGGAGUAUGUA